rnacentral:lncRNA from 1 species
GUGCUUCUGUGAAAUGUAUUCAGUUACUGAAUAUUGCAACAGGAACACACCAUUUGGCUCAGCACUCUGAGGCUGUAACGUGGCAGUAAAUCACAUGAGCAGGACCCACCUUUCUUCUAUACUCCACAUGGCCUGACUCCCUGUUUGCGCUGUCCUUUGUGUGUACACUUCUGAGGAAAAGGGUUCUUGUACACUCUCUAUGGAGCACCCAGACCAAAGGGGUCCUGAUUCUAGGUGAGCCCUCUGUGAGUCCUUCUCCUACAAACACAGGAGUACACAUUUGGGAAGUCUGAAGGAGGUGACAUUUGUAUUAUCAUACACGCUGCCUUCGAGGCUUUGCAUCAAAAUAAUGCACAGCAGGCAUUGAACUGCUCUCAUGAGGCUUUGCAAGAAAGAGUGGAAUGGAUGUUCAUCAAGCCAGCAAGGGAGAAAGGCAGAUCCCACAAGUGCAAUGUCCUGUGGUGCACUUUCCAGACUAACCCAGUCUUCUUCCAUCAAACCAUGAAGCACUUCGGGUAGUGGUCUUUUUACUGACUUUGA